GCAAGUAAAAGUCGUAACAAGGUCUCCGUUGGUGAACCAGCGGAGGGAUCAUUACCGAGUUUACCACUCCCAAACCCCUGUGAACAUACCUCUCGUUGCCUCGGCGGUGCCCGCGCCGGCGCCGCGCCAGAGGACCCCCAAACUCUUGUUUUAUACAGUAUCUUCUGGGUAAAACGAUUAAAUAAAUCAAAACUUUCAACAACGGAUCUCUUGGUUCUG
rnacentral:misc_RNA from 1 species